UACGUAGGCAGCAAGCGUUGUUCGGAAUUACUGGGCGUAAAGCGCGCGUAGGCGGUGAUCUUUGUCAGAGGUGAAAUCCCGAGGCUCAACUUCGGAAUUGCCUUUGAAACGGGAUCGCUUGAGUCCGAGAGAGGAUGGCGGAAUUCCUAGUGUAGAGGUGAAAUUCGUAGAUAUUAGGAAGAACACCGGUGGCGAAGGCGGCCAUCUGGCUCGGUACUGACGCUCAGGCGCGAAAGCGUGGGGAGCAAACAGG
rnacentral:rRNA from 1 species